GGCUCAGGAUGAACGCUAGCGGCAGGCCUAACACAUGCAAGUCGAGGGGUAGGGCAGCAAUGCCUGAGACCGGCGCACGGGUGCGUAACGCGUAUGCAAUCUACCUUGUACAGGGGAAUAGCCCAGAGAAAUUUGGAUUAAUGCCCCAUAGUAUAUUUGAAUGGCAUCAUUUAAAUAUUAAAGUUCAGGCGGUACAAGAUGAGCAUGCGUCCCAUUAGCUAGUUGGUAUGGUAACGGCAUACCAAGGCAAUGAUGGGUAGGGGUCCUGAGAGGGAGAUCCCCCACACUGGUACUGAGACACGGACCAGACUCCUACGGGAGGCAGCAGUGAGGAAUAUUGGGCAAUGGGCGCUAGCCUGACCCAGCCAUGCCGCGUGCAGGAAGACGGUCCUAUGGAUUGUAAACUGCUUUUCGUACGGGAAGAAACCCUAUUUACGGCGUAAUAGAUUGACGGUACCGUACGAAUAAGGAUCGGCUAACUCCGUG
rnacentral:rRNA from 1 species